AGGACUGCAGAAGGAGAAGCAUGGCUUUCCCACGCAAGGAGCACCUAUACCUGGGUGCAGAGUCUUGCUCUUUGCUCUCUCAGUGAUGGAUUUAGAGUAUGCCUGAGGCACUUGGGGUGUGCAGGUCUGGAAGGAAGGAGCCUUGAUGCACCCUGGGAAUGCUGAGGUCCCUUGUGGUGGUGAGUAACUUUGGCAGGGCCUGAGUCACCGUUUUCCUAAAGUUUUGAUCUCCUCA